rnacentral:rRNA from 1 species
GAUUAACGCUGGCGGCGUGCAUAACACAUGCAAGUCGAACGAUAAAACUUAGUAGACUUCUUCGGAAAGACACUAAGCGGAUUAGUGGCGAACGGGUGAGUAACGCGUGAGUAACCUGCCUUACACAAGGGGAUAGCCUAUGGCAACGAAGAAUAAUACCCUAUAACACCAUAAAAGCACAUGCUAGAAUGGUCAAAGUGAUAGCGGUGUAAGAUGGACUUGCGUCUGAUUAGCUCGUUUGUGAGAUAAAAGCUCACCCAGGCAACGAUCAGUAGCCGGCGUGGAAGGGCGAACGGCGGCAUGGGGACUGGCACACGGCCCAAACUGCGACAGAAGGGAGGAAUGGGGAAUAAUGGACGAUGGGGGGAUGCCUGAUGCAGCGGCGCCGGAUGAUUGAGAAGGCGUUGGGGUUGUAAAAAGCUUAUGAAGAGGAAGAAAGUGACGGUACUAGACGAAUAAGGUCCGGCUAAUUACGUG